rnacentral:rRNA from 1 species
AGAGUUUGAUCAUGGCUCAGGACGAACGCUGGCGGCGUGCCUAAUACAUGCAAGUAGAACGCUGAAGACUGGUGCUUGCACUAGUCAGAUGAGUUGCGAACGGGUGAGUAACGCGUAGGUAACCUACCUCAUAGCGGGGGAUAACUAUUGGAAACGAUAGCUAAUACCGCAUGACAAUUAAGUACUCAUGUACUAAAUUUAAAAGGAGCAAUUGCUUCACUAUGAGAUGGACCUGCGUUGUAUUAGCUAGUUGGUGAGGUAACGGCUCACCAAGGCCACGAUACAUAGCCGACCUGAGAGGGUGAUCGGCCACACUGGGACUGAGACACGGCCCAGACUCCUACGGGAGGCAGCAGUAGGGAAUCUUCGGCAAUGGGGGCAACCCUGACCGAGCAACGCCGCGUGAGUGAAGAAGGUUUUCGGAUCGUAAAGCUCUGUUGUUAGAGAAGAACGGUAAUGGGAGUGGAAAAUCCAUUACGUGACGGUAACUAACCAGAAAGGGACGGCUAACUACGUGCCAGCAGCCGCGGUAAUACGUAGGUCUCGAGCGUUGUCCGGAUUUAUUGGGCGUAAAGCGAGCGCAGGCGGUUAUUUAAGUCUGAAGUUAAAGGCCGUGGCUCAACCAUGGUUCGCUUUGGAAACUGGAUAACUUGAGUGCAGAAGGGGAGAGUGGAAUUCCAUGUGUAGCGGUGAAAUGCGUAGAUAUAUGGAGGAACGCCGGUGGCGAAAGCGGCUCUCUGGUCUGUAACUGACGCUGAGGCUCGAAAGCGUGGGGAGCAAACAGGAUUAGAUACCCUGGUAGUCCACGCCGUAAACGAUGAGUGCUAGGUGUUAGGCCCUUUCCGGGGCUUAGUGCCGCAGCU